GGUGGUGGUGGUGGUGAUGGUGAUUGUGAUGAUCAUGACUAUGGUCAUGGUGAUGAUGAUGAUGUUGGUGACUGUGAGAGGAACAGCUGCAAGCAGAACAGUGGAUGCGUCCACGGAACUGAGCGGAGCUUCGAAUUGGAACUGAAGAUUUGGGUUUCAAUGAAGAGAACAAGAGAUUCCGGUUGACUUUGAGUCUCCUUGUAGAUUUGUAGAUUGAACAAUUGAUCCCUGAGAAGGAAGUUGAAAGACGCAGAGCUUCCAUUUUUUGCCGAAUAUUUUCACUGAAAAUGCAUUUUUUGUUCCCUUCUUUCUCUCUCUCAAUAAUACUGGGGCAAAU
rnacentral:misc_RNA from 1 species